ACGUACAAAAGUAGCUUUUCUGUAGCCCAUUUCAUCAGAACUCCACAGUUAAACGUGCUUGAGCCGGAGUAGUACAAGGAUGGGUGACCUUCUGGGAAGUUUCCCAGAAAAUGUGCAGU
rnacentral:rRNA from 1 species